AUGGCGACCAUGUUUGUUGAUAGAUCAUAACUUCGGAUACAAUUUACAAACUAGAUACCCUAAGGAACAUUCAGUUAAAGUUUGGAAGUAUUUGGCCCAGUAGUUUCAGAGGAGAAGAAUUUUGUAAAAGAUUUUUAAGAUUUACGAAAAAUGGUUAAAAAUUGACUAUAAAGGGCAAUAACUCCUAAAGGGGUCAACUGACCAUUUCCGUCAUUUGACUUAUUUGUAAAUCUUACUUUGCUGAACAUUAUUGCUGUUUACAGUUUAUCUCUAUCUAUAAUAAUAUUCAAGAUAAUAACCAAAAACAGCAAAAUUUCCUUAAAAUUAUCAAUUCAGGGGCAGCAACCCAACAACAGGUUGUCUGAUUCAUCUGAAAAUUUCAGGGCAGAUAGAUCUUGACCUGAUAAACAAUAAUAGCCCCAGUCAGAUUUGCUUAAAUGCUUUGGUUUUUGAGUUAUAAGCCAAAAACUGCAUUUGACCCCUAUGUUCUAUUUUUAGCAAUGGCGACCAUGUUUGUUGAUAGAUCAUAACUUCGGAUACAAUUUACAAACUAGAUACCAUAAGGAACAUUCAGUAAAAGUUUGAAAGUAUUUG
rnacentral:lncRNA from 1 species